rnacentral:rRNA from 1 species
UACCUUGUUACGACUUCACCCCAGUCAUGAACCAUACCGUGGGGGCCGCCCUCCCUCGCGGGUUAGGCCAGCCACUUCUGGUACAGUCCACUCCCAUGGUGUGACGGGCGGUGUGUACAAGACCCGGGAACGUAUUCACCGCGACAUGCUGAUCCGCGAUUACUAGCGAUUCCGACUUCAUGCAGUCGAGUUGCAGACUGCAAUCCGGACUACGACGCGCUUUCUGGGAUUGGCUCCAGGUCACCCCUUCGCAACCCUCUGUACGCGCCAUUGUAUGACGUGUGUAGCCCUACCCAUAAGGGCCAUUGAGGACUUGACGUCAUCCCCACCUUCCUCCGGUUUGUCACCGGCAGUCCCAUUAGAGUGCCCACCUCUCGCGUGGCAACUAAUGGCAAGGGUUGCGCUCGUUGCGGGACUUAACCCAACAUCUCACGACACGAGCUGACGACAGCCAUGCAGCACCUGUGUUGCCGCUCCCUUGCGGGCACUCCCCCGUCUCCGGGGGAUUCGGCACAUGUCAAGGGUAGGUAAGGUUCUUCGCGUUGCAUCGAAUUAAACCACAUCAUCCACCGUUUGUGCGGGUCCCCGUCAAUUCCUCUGAGUUUUAACCUUGCGGGCGUACUCCCCAGGGGGUCGACUUGACGGGUUAGUGGCGUUACCGAGGAUCUAACUCCGCCAACAAUUG